CACGCCUGUAAUCCCAGCACUUUGGGAGGCCAAGGCAGGUGGAUCACGAGGUCAGGAGAUCGAGACCAUCCUGGGUAACAUGGUGAAACCCCGUCUCUACUAAAAUUACAAAAAAUUAGCCGGGCAUGGUGGCAGGUGCCUGUAGUCCUAGCUACUCGGGAGGCUGAGGCAGAAGAAUUGCUUGAACCAGGCACCGAGAUCGCGCCACUGCUCUCCAGCCUCAGUGACAGAGUGAGACUCCAUCUCAAAAAAAAAAAAAAAAAAAAAAGUGGGGGCAUCUCCCAAGCAGAAAGCAAAGCCUAAGCCUACUCACUUCUUUGGGGAGAGAGGAAGAAAGUCUUGGACAGUAAUUGAGCAUCCUCUUUGGGCACCUGCCCCAACAACUUCACACACAUUAUCAUCUCAUUUAACUGAGGUUGGAUCUGCAAAGGCAGCUUGGCUUGGCAGAAAGAGCGGGAGCUUUGGAAUGAGGGCCUAGAUCUCACCGUGGGCUCUAUCACUUGGUGCUAUUUUUAGCAAGCAUGCAGUAAUAAUCAUAAUACUC
rnacentral:lncRNA from 1 species